CUUUUAUGACGUUGUUAUUAUAUAUAUAAUAAAUUAUUAUUUAAAUAAAAAAAAUUAAAAUUUAAAAAAUUAAAAAAAUUAAAAAAAUUAAAAAAAUUAAAAAAAAUUAAAAAAAUUAAAAAAAUUAAAAAAAUAAAAAAAAUUAAAAAAAUUAAAAAAAAAUAAAAUAAAAUAAAAAUAAAAAAGGUAAAUUUUUUUUAUGUUUUCGAAUUAUACUUUUUCAAAUUCGAACUUUUUUAUAAAUUUGUUUUUUUUAUUUUUUUUUUUUCAAAUUUCUUUUUGAAAAACAAAAAUUAUGUUUGAAACUAUUUUUUAAAAAUUUUAUAUAUAUUUUUAAGUAUUUAUUUAUAUAUUUAUUAGAAUCCUAAAUUUCACAUUCCAAAAACCUUACCUCAC
rnacentral:lncRNA from 1 species